rnacentral:rRNA from 1 species
GCCCCUGACUCUGGGAUAAGCCCGGGAAACUGGGUCUAAUACCGGAUACGACCGCCUCCGGCAUCGGGUGGUGGUGGAAAGUUUUUCGGUUGGGGAUGGGCUCGCGGCCUAUCAGCUUGUUGGUGGGGUAGUGGCCUACCAAGGCGACGACGGGUAGCCGGCCUGAGAGGGCGACCGGCCACACUGGGACUGAGACACGGCCCAGACUCCUACGGGAGGCAGCAGUGGGGAAUAUUGCGCAAUGGGCGGAAGCCUGACGCAGCGACGCCGCGUGGGGGAUGACGGCCUUCGGGUUGUAAACCUCUUUCAGCAGGGACGAAGUUGACGUGUACCUGCAGAAGAAGCGCCGGCUAACUACGUGCCAGCAGCCGCGGUAAUACGUAGGGCGCAAGCGUUGUCCGGAAUUAUUGGGCGUAAAGAGCUCGUAGGUGGCUUGUCGCGUCGGAUGUGAAAGCCCGCAGCUUAACUGCGGGUCUGCAUUUGAUACGGGCAGGCUAGAGGUAGGUAGGGGAGAACGGAAUUCCUGGUGUAGC